rfam:Brachypodium distachyon strain Bd21 chromosome 3, whole genome shotgun sequence.
AUACUUACCUGGACGGUGUUAACAGCCGAUCAAAAAGGGUCGUGGCCUAGAUCAAUGGCUCACAUUACACUUGGUGUGUGUGUUGGUUUACCAUCUCCCCAAGAGGGAGAGUGGACGUCAUAAUUUGUGGCAGAGGGGUUACGCGUUCGCGCGGCCCAAG